AGAGGGCACUAGACAAGCUCCAUAGCCAAACCCACCUAGUUGGUAGCAAACCUCAGCAGUACAGGAGAGCAGGCAAUACAUUUCACAGUACACACACACACUAUAAACAAUUACAUUACACACACCCUGCACCUAUAAUGGGUACAGGGUGACUAAAACAUAACAUAAAUAAAGCAGCCUACAUAAAUAGUCUGUCUGAAGGUAGACUAGGGGCUUUAAUGCCAAAUACAUGAAAGAGUCAUAGUCACAGGGGAGGAGGCUGGCAAGCAGGCCUCUCCAGGACCAAGUGGCGAAGGGCACUUCGUCACAGUAGUCUUAAUACA